AUCUUGGCGGGACAGCAGAGGACGGGAACUCCCGCCACCCGAAGCCCUCCGCCCGAGCGGGAAUUCCCGUCGCCCGAAGCGUACGGGCUAAAUAAUAUAUCGACAAAACCAUCCAGCACUCAGUGGCCCCAUCGCGCUGGUCAGUAGAGGACCAGUGGCCACCAGACGCAGCGGAACCUUUCUGGGUCGUAACGUGAUGACCCGGGGGACGUAGAUAGUGCCGCCGAAGUCCCGAGUGGCUUCGAGACAAGGAAGAGAAGCUACGCGACUCACUUGAGCCAGUCAGUCAGUGGUCAGUGGCGUCAGCUUCGUUGUGGUGUACGUGUGAGUCUUCUGUGUUUUCUUGGACGCUUAUUUGGGCUCUAGGUGAACCAAGACUCUCCCAAAGCUUGUCCACAGUGGUCAGCAGCUGUGACACAAGGAGCAGCUGUCUCAGCGACGGGGAGCGGUGGACGGCGGAUGAAUACUUCGACUCCCGCGCCUUCUUCCGCAUCAUGUCCGACCCGCCGAUCCUGGUGGUGGGCGGCGUGCGUCAGAGGAGUUGAAAAAUGUGAGGGAAGACACAGUAUGUUGAGGGAAGGCAGCUGCACUAGUGACAGCAGCAGCAGAGCCCCACCACUGCUGCUGUUCCUCUCCUCUUCCCAGCACAGCAGCACACAGGACACAUUUCCAUCAUCUUUAAAUCCCGGAC